GUUAACAAACAGUAGACACAAUACACACAUCCAAAUACUGUACUUCAGCUUUAAAUUUUAAUAAAGUAUUACUAUUUUCUGCUUCAAGGUAUUACUUUUGAGAUUAUUAUAUAUAUUAGAAAAUAUAGCAUAAUGAAAAUACUAGUUAUUGUAAACUUUACAAACCACCCAGCAGUAUGUAAAGUCAAAUUAUAAAAUACUAAUAAAUAACAAUUGCACAACAGAAUCUCAGUGUAAUGAACAUACUUAUGUGUUCAUUACCGACACACUUAGUUUUGACAAAGCACACUGCUUAGGUAAAUGAUCUCAGUAGUUGUUUAUCACUGAGCAAUUUAUGUGUUUCGAGCCAAAUAAAUGACAGUGAGAGAGAGAGAGAGAGACAGACAAUCGUUGGGUUGCGCAUGCGCAGACAGAUUGCGCGACCGACGGGCCUUGAACUUUAAGGGAAAAAACACUUUCUCACGGACGGUGACAGCGAAACGGAUAACAGUCUUCAGUACCUGCUGGUCUUUGAAGCUCUGGAUUCUGGGACUGUUGGAAAAGCUCCAACAAAAUGAGGAAGAGGAGCGGGAGAAAAACAAUUAGAUUGAAUUACAAUUGGAUGGAUGUCGAGGACAAGGAGGAGGAAGCUUAGGAUGAGGAGGAAGAAAAGCAGCAGGAGCAUCUUUGGGGAUCUCUACGAUGUCAUUGAGAGGCGGCGGCGAGAGGGGAGACCUCAGCUCAUCCAGCUGGACAGCCUGACCAGGAGGAGUCUACAUUAACUCGGCUCUUCCAGGGCACCCUGCAGACUCGGCUGCUGGCAACACUGGGAUGACGUGAACGCCAAACAGGAGUCCAUCACAGGUCGACUGCAGCUCCUUGUCUCAGAGUGGGAGG